CCAAUUUAUAUGUUAGUUUGCCUGCGGCUUCGGUCACUGGUAUUAACUACUAUGUAAACGUUGAACUAGAUCAAUUGGUGUGGAUUGCUUGGGAAUGGACGAAGCGAUGAGCCUCUUCCGGACAGGCAAGCCCCACACUGAUAACCUUUUUCAUAUCAUUUACUCGUAUAUACUACCACAACAACAAAAAACAAAAGCUAUAAUAGGACUUAUUAACGGCUGAGUGGGUAACAUCCUCGGCUUAAACAUAUAACUAUUA
rnacentral:misc_RNA from 1 species